UACAGAGGUCUCAACCGUUGUUCGGAUUCAUUGGGCGUAAAGGGUGCGUAGGCGGCGGGGCAAGUCAGGUGUGAAAUCUCGGGGCUCAACCCCGAAACUGCACUUGAUACUGCCUUGCUCGAGUACUGGAGAGGAGACUGGAAUUUACGGUGUAGCAGUGAAAUGCGUAGAUAUCGUAAGGAAGACCAGUGGCGAAGGCGAGUCUCUGGACAGUUACUGACGCUGAGGCACGAAGGCCAGGGGAGCAAACGGG
rnacentral:rRNA from 1 species